UACAGAGGCCUCGAGCGUUGCGCGGAAUCACUGGGCUUAAAGGGUGCGUAGGCGGAUGUGCAAGUGCCUUGUGAAAUCCCAGAGCUCAACUCUGGAACUGCUUGGUAGACUGCACGUCUUGAGGUCGGUAGAGGUCGCUGGAACGGUUGGUGGAGCGGUGAAAUGCGUAGAUAUCAACCGGAACGCCCAAGGUGAAGACAAGCGACUGGGCCGAAACUGACGCUGAGGCACGAAAGCGUGGGGAUCAAACGGG
rnacentral:rRNA from 1 species